ACCAUCUCCCUGUCAUGGCCAUCUCUUAGGGUUUCCCUCAUCCGCCGCCGCCGCCGUCGGGUGAGUUAGCCCACCAGAUCCGCCACCUGCAGCCCUUCCCGAGCGCACCCAGGAGCGCGUCGUCGUCGCCGGCAUGCUCUCCGACAGAUCUAGCCCCCUCGAGCACGUCCUACUUCUUCCAUGACGACCACGACGUCCCCGACGUCGACUACGUGGAGCCUGCAUCCUCUCCCGCGAUGCCUCCUUCUUCUUCAUCUCCUGCUGCCGAACGUGUUCGCUCGUCGCCGUCGUCGCCUCCGACCUCCCCUCGGCCGUCCAAGAACACUGCCAUGCUUGUGUUCAUGUUUGGUUGCGAUCGUGAGGAUUCGUUCCACUACUCUUGGUUUGUCUACGCCCGUUCGUCUACUUCAUGGACUCGGUCUUCUUCCUAGCGGGAUUUCAGGCAAGAUGACCGUCACCUUGGAUCUCACUAACUAUCUUUGCUUUGCGAGUUGUCCUGAUGCUAUCGCUAUGUCGCGCUACCUACCACUUGUUUAUCAAGCCUCCCAAAUUGCCAUGAACAGUCUCUAACCUUUUUCACCAUCCCAACAAACCAUUGUUUGGCUAUGUUACCGCUUUGCUCAGCACCUCUUAUAGCGUUGCUAGUUGCAGGUGCGGUGCAGGUUGUUCCAUGUAGGGACAUGGAUAUCAUGGAAUAUCACAAUAUCUCUUAUUUAAUUAAUGCACAUAUAUACAUGGUAAUGGGUGGAAGCCUCGGCCUUUUGCCUGGUGAUUUGUUUUACUCAUGCCGCCCUAGUUUCCGUCAUAUCGGUGUUAUGUUCCUUGAUUUUGCGUUCCUAACACGGUUGGUGUUUACGGGGCCCCCUUGAUAGUUCUCUUUGAAUAAAACUCCUCCAGCAAGACCCAACAUUUGUUUUACCAAUUGCCCAACAUAAUAACUAAACAUGAUAAUAAACUUGACGCAUAGGAAGUUAGCACUGCCCGAGGUUUGUUAUAAAACAUAAUACAGGGGGCAGUACUGAUGGUGUUGGUCCCAAACUAGAGUCGUGUGCGGCUUCCCCCGGGGCAACUCAAAUCUCAGGUGUUGUACGCUGUGCUCAUCCGACCGUGGCCUGAGAUGAGAUACACGCCUACUAUCAAGGUGUCGGCGUGUCGGGAGGACUUGCUGGACUUGUUUUACCAUUGUCGAAAUGUCUUGUGAACCGGGAUUCCGAGCUUGAUCGGGUUGUUCUGGGAGGAGGAUUAUCCUCCAUUGAUUGUUAGAGCUUGUCAUGGGCUAAGUUGGGACACCCCUGCAGGGUUUGAUAUUUCGAAACCCGUGCCAGCGGUUAUGUGGUAGAUGGGAGUUUUUAAUAUCCGGUUGUAGUGAACUUGAACUAAACUCAAUUAAAUAACUAACCGCGUGCAUAACCGUGACUGUCUCUUUUCGGGUGAGUUCGAGAAGAGAACACGGUUGGGUUAUGUUUGACCGUAAGUAGUUCCGGAUCACUUCUUCAUCAUUACUAGUUUGCGACUGUUGCGUAGGUUCUCAUCUUAUUCUUGUACUCAUAAGUUAGCCACCAUACAUUGCUUAGUGCUGCUGCAGCCUCACAACUUAUCCUUUGCAUACCCAUUAAGCUUUGCUAGUCUUGAUACCCAUGGUAAUGGGAUUGCUGAGUCCUCGUGGCUCACAGAUUACCGCAACAACAGUUGCAGGUACAUGUAAUGCGAUGAUCCGACGUGAGAGCGAUGCUUGCCUGUUUUCGAGUCCUUCUGCUUCUUCUUCGAUCAGGGGAUAGGUUCCUGGUCGGCAGCCUGGGCUAGCAGGGUGGAUGUCGUUUGAGUUUGUGUUUGUGUUUCAUCCGUAGUCGGAUGUUGUUCUCAUGGAUGAUGUUUGAUAUAUCCUCGUGGCAUUGCUAUGCCCUUUGUAUGUAUCCCCAUCUAUUAUUUAAUGUUACGAUGUAAUGA